ACAUUUACCUAGCAGGGGAGAUACCAAGAUCAUGAAGGUCAUUUUCCCAGGGUAAGGUCCCUCCAUUGCCCUCAGGAGUGUUGACCCCCAGCUAUUUUGCCAAAUGUAUGAAGACCGCAUAAUUCGUAGCCAUCUUCAACAGGUUUUGUUGUUGAUAC
rnacentral:snRNA from 1 species